UACGAAGGGGGCUAGCGUUGCUCGGAAUCACUGGGCGUAAAGGGCUCGUAGGCGGCCAACUAAGUCAGACGUGAAAUCCCCAGGCUCAACCUGGGAACUGCGUCUGAUACUGGAUGGCUUGAAUCCGGGAGAGGGAUGCAGAAUUCCAGGUGUAGCGGUGAAAUGCGUAGAUAUCUGGAGGAAUACCGGUGGCGAAGGCGGCAUCCUGGACCGGCAUUGACGCUGAGGAGCGAAAGCCAGGGGAGCAAACGGG
rnacentral:rRNA from 1 species